rnacentral:lncRNA from 1 species
AAAAACUAGAAGUCAAACGAAACGUGGCACACAAGAAGACAAGAAAUCACGGGAGAUGGAGGACACGCGUGCUAAAGACAACCCUGAGGGAAACAUGUGCUCGGUGCUUCAAAGUAUAAGCAAGGAAAUACGCGACUUUAGGACUGAACACAAAAUGGAUUUACACACUCUCAAAGAAGAACUUAAGGAAGAUAUGAAGAAAGAACUCAAAGAGCUCAAGCAGGACAUCUACCAAAAACUAUCUGCUAACUCCGCUCGGAUCCAGGCUAAUGAGACCAGGCUAAAUGAAGCAGAAGAACGGAUCAACGAGACUGAGUUGGCUAACAUGGCUAUGAAGGAGGCGCUCAUUAAGUCCAUGGAAAGACAGAAGACAAUGCAGGUAAAGUUAACAGACAUGGAGGGGCGGUCUAGGCGAAAUAACAUACGCAUCUAUGGUGUACCAGAAGGGAAAGAAGGAAACUCCGUGUCUGACUUUGUGGAGCAACUUCUAAAAAGUGAACUCGCACUGACAGCGGACAUUAACCUGCAGAUUCAGCGCGCUCACAGGGCUUUAGCUCGUAAACCAGAGCCAAACCAGCCACCCAGAUCUAUAGUGGUAAACUUUCUGGAGUUUAAUACCAAAGAGGCGGUAUUGAAAAAAGCCUGGGGAAAGAAAAUAAUGAUUGAAGGGAGACGCCUGUCAUUUGAUCAUGAUUACGCUGCAGAGGUUGUUCAGAAGCGCAAGGCGUACACGGGGAUAAAGAGGGUCCUGAAAGAGAAAGGAAUACGUUUCCAGACCCCGCUGGACAGGAUGCGCAUCCACUGGGACACGGGGACACGUACUUAUGAGAGCGCACGAGACGCAGCUCAGGAGUUAAGGAAGAGAGGCUACACAGUGGAAACGCCAGGCGGCUCGGUGGAUACGAGCUGGGAGAUGGAGCAGCUUCUUCAAGCCCCUACAUGGCAGAGAGCCGAGGAGAGGAGCACAGGAGAUGCCGCGCGCCGCGCGAAGGAAAGGUUGCAGGAGUUCGAGCGAACCCCCUCUAACUAACCCCCUGUCACGUAUGUAAAACUUGGUUGGCCCGUCA